AAUUCAUAGUCCAUGCUCAAGAUCGAAUGGCAUCUCUCAGACUGGAAGACCUUUCUGAAGUCAGUUCCAGACAUCCCUGGAAGGCUGGAUAAUUUGGGAAAAGGCUGACUCAAUGUAAGUUUGGCACCUUUCCAUGACGAGGAUCUCUACAGGACUCUGCCUGAGAAAUUUUAUACAUUCCUCCAAAGAGGAAGAAACUAAAAUCGAGAGAGGUUAAUAAUUGUGCCCGAGGCUACACAGCUACUAAGCAAACCAGAUCUAUGCUCAAAGCCCAUGCAGGACUGUAACCACGGUGCAAGAUCAAUCCUCCUGCUUGGAGAACUGAUCCAACUCCACACCUGUAUCUUCAGGUUGGACUCGCUUCUUCAACCCAUGUACAUGUCCAGUAUUCCUUCAUCAUUGACAAAUACCUUCCUUUGACUUUACUGAUUCUCUGACUACCACCUUUUCAAUGAAGAAAGACUUCCCUGGCCAGGUGCCAUCCCUCGGUGCUUCCACGGUUACUGACGCGUGUAUUCUCCACAGCAAUUACAACUGGAUCAAAAUC
rnacentral:lncRNA from 10 species